rnacentral:lncRNA from 1 species
UCUCAGCCAUGGUUGCAUACCUUCCAAGCUCCACCGCCUCUUCUUCCUCGUGGGCAGAUCCCUGAUUUUGUGUAGGACAGCACUUGAAAUGUAUUUGUGUGCUCAACAUUGGUUUCCUCUCUGGAACCUGGGAUCACUUCAGGGGUGGACACGUGGCCCAACCAUGACUGAUGAGACAUGCGGGGAAAUCUGCAGAGGCAACUUCUAGGAAAGGUUGGGCUCUUGCAGCCACCCUGUGACUAUGAGCAUUCUGACCACAAUGCCAGAAGACAAUACGGAAUUACUCAGUACAUGAAGCACCAGGAAGAUGACAACAGAAGAGAGAGGACCCAGACAUUGGAAUCAGCAGCCACCAGGUGCAAUCUCCAACAUGUGCGGGCUUUGGGAAAACACAAUCGGGCAAGUGAAGUUUGUUGCAGACAAGUUCUUCUUCCCCUCUGCCACAACCUCCUCCAAGGCAUAGCAGCAAAUCAGCCUUUCAGAAUAUUGCAGGAUCAGCAAUGAAAUUCCCUUUGCCAGAGAAAUGGACAAACAAGGAAGCAACAAUGGUGAUGGUGGAAGUGUUCUUCAAGUCUAAGUUUGGGUUCUAGAAACAUCUGGCCAAAUAACGUCUUUCACAACUAAAAUAGAAUAUAAAGAAGCCAUUUGACCUGCCUCAGUUAUCAUGGUCAUCAUGACAAGCUGCAGCAGGACAAAUCAGCUUAACAAUUUCGGAAACUGCCAGAAAUGCUAUUUGGAUUAAUUUUUAUUUGGGAGUUGGCUAAAACUGGUCACAUCCCCAAAUACCUCAAGAUAAACAACAUAGCAUUAUCAUACAAAUCUAUAUUCACCAAAUUAGGUUAAAAUAGGCUGUUUUGAGAAGGUUGAAUUUUUUUAUGGGGAUUAUUCCCAAAAUACGUUUAGACACAAGAAGUUCAACUUUUCUUUUUUCCAUAUUUGAUGUCAAUCAAACUAAUUACUACAUGUUUGGAAUUGCAUUAAUUGUAUUCUUCAGUUACCUAUAAAAUUUAAUUAUCAUGUCUUUAUGGAAAUUUUAAUAUCAGAUAUAAAGAAUGGCAUAUUUAAAAUGACAUUUUAAUACUUUAUAAGAAGCAACAGAAAUUCGACUUCCAAAGCACCUCUCAGUACUACCAUUGGAGUACAUCUAUAUUUUUCUGUCAGAAUACUAUCCAAAGCAAGCAUAAGUAAUCCUUAUUUUCACGAUACAUUGAUGCUCAAAAGUUGUGUGUUCAGCAUGUCUACAAAGUAAAUUACCGUAUAUUUGAAACAGCAGACUAAAACUGAAGUAACAUCUGGAAAAAAUUGCCCUAAUUGCUAGCCCCUAAAUUCAUCUGACCUUGACACUCUCAUCUGAAUUUAAAAGUGUUUUAAAUUCUUAGCCAAUCAAUUCAAGCCAGAACUGAAUUCAUAUGUCUUCAGAAACUGCUAAUCUAGAACAAUGUAACUAGAAUAGAUUCCUGAUCAAACUUUGGUUUUGUUCAGGUAUCCACUCAUUUCCUAGGUGACCCAGAGGCCACAACUCACAACUCCACCCCUUCCCGUGGCUGGUCCAGGCUGUGCAGAUCUUGUAGUCACAAAGUCCUGGCAAUGGGCUGGGGGUGGGAUCUGACCUAGUGCUGACCAACAUGUCAAAAACAGAUGGCUGCAGAACCCUCUGGAAAAGCUUCCCUCAUUCUUAAGGAAUCCUGUGAAGAGAUGGUCUGUUUCUGUCCUGUUCCCUGGAUGUCAAAUGUCUGGGUUUGAGACCCAGAACUCCUGAAGCCAUCUCACAACUACAAGGGGAGCAGAUGUAGCCACUGAGGAUGGCCAAGCAGAGGGAGGGAGGACCUUUCCUGCCAGCAUCGCCAGCGGCUGAAUCACAGCCCAGAACCCCACAGCACCCUAAACGUCCUCUUAACAAAUGUAAUACGUUGUCUUACUGUUUGUGCCUGUGUGAAAAGUCCUCUUUGCUUGCAGUGAAGGCAUCCUAGUUGAUAAACAUGAAAUUUGAAAAUUGGAGAUUUCUUGGAACCAACA